GAUGAACGCUGGCGGCGUGCCUAAUACAUGCCAGUCGAGCGAACAGACGAGGAGCUUGCUCCUCUGACGUUAGCGGCGGACGGGUGAGUAACACGUGGAUAACCUACCUAUAAGACUGGGAUAACUUCGGGAAACCGGAGCUAAUACCGGAUAAUAUAUUGAACCGCAUGGUUCAAUAGUGAAAGACGGUUUUGCUGUCACUUAUAGAUGGAUCCGCGCCGCAUUAGGUAGUUGGUAAGGUAACGGCUUACCAAGGCAACGAUGCGUAGCCGACCUGAGAGGGUGAUCGGCCACACUGGAACUGAGACACGGUCCAGACUCCUACGGGAGGCAGCAGUAGGGAAUCUUCCGCAAUGGGCGAAAGCCUGACGGAGCAACGCCGCGUGAGUGAUGAAGGUCUUCGGAUCGUAAAACUCUGUUAUUAGGGAAGAACAAAUGUGUAAGUAACUAUGCACGUCUUGACGGUACCUAAUCAGAAAGCCACGGCUAACUACGUG
rnacentral:rRNA from 1 species